GAUGAACGCUGGCGGCGUGCUUAACACAUGCAAGUCGAACGGAAAGGCCCAAGCUUGCUUGGGUACUCGAGUGGGGAACGGGUGAGUAACACGUGGGUGAUCUGCCCUGCACUUCGGGAUAAGCCUGGGAAACUGGGUCUAAUACAGGAUAGGACCACUUCUAGGGGGUUGUGGUGGAAAGUUUUUUCGGUGUGGGAUGAGUUGGCGGCCUAUCAGCUUGUUGGUGGGGUAAUGGGCUACCAAGGCGUCGCCGGGAAGCCGGCCUGAGAGGGUGUACGGCCGCCUUGGCACUGACGGACGGCCGCGGCUCCUACUGGAGGCAGCAGUGGGGAAUAUUGCACAAUGGGCGCCAGCCUGGUGCAGCGGGGCCGCGUGGGGGAUGACGGCCUUCGGGUUGAAAACUCCUUUCGCUAGGGACGAAGCGUUUUGUGACGGUACCUGGAGAAGAAGCACCGGCUAACUACGUG
rnacentral:rRNA from 1 species